CAGUUCGGAUCGGAGUCUGNAACCCGACUCCGUGAAGCUGGAUUCGCUAGUAAUCGCGCAUCAGCCAUGGCGCGGUGAAUACGUUCCCGGGCCUUGUACACACCGCCCGUCAAGCCAUGGGAGCCGGGGGUGCUUGAAGUGCGUCGCCGCAAGGCGCGCCCUAGAGCAAAACCGGUGACUGGGGCUAAGUCGUAACAAGGUAUC
rnacentral:rRNA from 1 species